GACGAACGCUGGCGGCGUGCCUAAUACAUGCAAGUCGAACGCAGUGGGGACGGGUGAGUAACACGUGGGUAACCUCCCAUCAGAGGGGAUAACACUUGGAAACAGGUGCUAAACCGAUACUGAUGGACGGACCCGCGGGGCAUUAGCUAGUUGGUGGGGUAACGGCUCACCAAGGCCACGAUGCAUAGCCGACCGGAGAGGGUGAUCGGCCACACUGGGACUGAGACACGGCACAGACGCCUACGGGAGGCAGAAGUAGGGAAUCUUCCGCAAGGGGCGCCAGCCUGACGGAGCAACGCCGCGUGAGUGAAGAAGGUUUUCGGAUCGUAAAGCUCUGUUGUAAGAGAAGCGGUAUCUUACCAGAAAGCCACGGCUAACGACGUGCCAGCCGCCGCGGUAAUUC
rnacentral:rRNA from 1 species